rnacentral:rRNA from 1 species
UGACGUACUAACGAAUAAGCACUGCUACUACGUGCCAGCAGCGCGGUAUACGUAGGUUGGCUAGUCGUUAUGGAAUAUUGGGCGUAAAGCGCGCGCUAGGUGGUUUCAGUCAAGUCUGAUGUGACAUCCCACGGCUCACCGUGGAAGGGUGCAUCCGAAAACUGGUAGAGCUAGAGUGACAGUAGAGGAGAGUGGAAUCUCAUGUGAGCGGUGAAAUGCGUAGAGAUAUGGAGGGAACACCAGUGCCGAAAGGCGACUCUCUUGUACUGUAUACCUGAACAUGAGGCUGCGAAAGCGUGGGGAGCAAACAGGAUUAGAUACCCUUGGUAGUCCACGCGUAAACGAUGAUGUGACUAAGCGUUAGAGAUGCCUCCAGCACUCUUAGUGGCUGCAAGCUAACGCGAUAAGUCACUCCGCUGGGGAGUACGGCCGCAAGGUUAAAACUCAAAUGAAUUGACGGGGGCCCGCACAGCGGUGGAGCAUGUGGUUUAAUUUCGAAGCAACGCGAAGAACCUUACCCAGCUCUGACAUCCUAGAACAACCCAAAGAAGGAGGGGUGCCUUUGGGAAGUAAAAUACCGGUUGGGCCAGGGUGUUGUCAACCCGGGUCCUUAGAUGUUGGGUUUAAUCCCGUAACCAGCGCCACCCUUUUCUUUAGUUACCAGCACCUAAGGUGGGCACUCUAAGGAGACGCCGGUGACAAACCGGAGGAAGGUGGGGAUGACGUCAAGUCAUCAUGCCCCUUAUGACCAGGGCUACACACGUGCUACAAUGGUCGGUACAAAGGGUUGCCAAGCCGCGAGGUGGAGCUAAUCUCCAUAAAACCGUAUUGUAGUCCGGAUCUCGGUUGCAAAUUGCAUACCGUGAGGUGGGAACCGUUGGUAAUCGUGAAUAGCAAUGUCACGGUGAUACGUUCCCGGGCCUGUACACACCCCCGUCACCCCCGGGAGUUGGUUACUCCUAGAAGUCGGUGGUCUAACCUUCGUAGGAGCCCCCGCCCA